rnacentral:tRNA from 1 species
AGAGAAUUAGUUUAAAACUAAAACAUUAACUUGUCAAGUUAAAUAUAUAUGUAUAUAUAUUCUCUU